rnacentral:rRNA from 1 species
CCUACGGGUGGCUGCAGUGGGGAAUAUUGCGCAAUGGGCGGAAGCCUGACGCAGCGACGCCGCGUGGGGGAUGACGGCCUUCGGGUUGUAAACCUCUUUCGGCCCCGACGAAGCGUUUGUGACGGUAGGGGUAGAAGAAGCACCGGCCAACUACGUGCCAGCAGCCGCGGUAACACGUAGGGUGCGAGCGUUGUCCGGAAUUAUUGGGCGUAAAGAGCUCGUAGGCGGUGUGUCGCGUCGGCCGUGAAAACCUGUGGCUUAACUGCGGGCUUGCG